rnacentral:lncRNA from 1 species
AUGAGUGUUGGAUAUGCCUGAUCUGGAGAACCUCCUUCUGCUCAGCACCAGGUUUUGCACUUGCAGACCGUUUACAUCUUCUCCCAGGUCGCGGCCAUUGCAUACGUUACAUCCCCUUCUCGAGGACAAAUCUAGGGACUGCUGAUUAGGGCUCGUCAAAUCCGGGCCAUGACUUGAAUUUAUUGGCGUUCCAUGAGCACAUCGGAUCCAUAUCCCUACUGGCUUGAUCCAAUAUGAGAGAGAUAUGGAUUUGUUUUUCGUGGGGAGGAAGAGAGCGAGUAGAGAUUUGAUUGCGUA